rnacentral:rRNA from 1 species
CGAACGCUGGCGGCAGGCCUAACACAUGCAAGUCGAACGCCCAGCAAUGGGAGUGGCAGACGGGUGAGGAACACGUGGGAACGUGCCCUUUGGUUCGGAAUAACUCAGGGAAACUUGAGCUAAUACCGUAUAAGCCCUUCGGGGAAAGAUUUAUCGCCAAAGGAUCGGCCCGCGUCUGGUUAGCUAGUUGGUGGGUAACGGCCUACCAAGGCAGCGAUCGGUAGCUGGUCUGAGAGGACGACCAGCCACACUGGGACUGAGACACGGCCCAGACUCCUACGGGAGGCAGCAGUGGGGAAUAUUGCACAAUGGGCGAAAGCCUGAUGCAGCCAUGCCGCGUGGGUGAAGAAGGCCUUAGGGUUGUAAACCCCUUUCAGCGGGGAAGAUAAUGACUGUACCCGCAGAAGAAGUCCCGGCUAACUCCGUGCCAGCAGCCGCGGUAAUCUGAUGGCGCGAGG